rnacentral:lncRNA from 1 species
CCGAAUACCAUUGAGAACGAAAAAUAGGACUACAGAAUUAUUAAUUUAUUAAAAACAAUAAACUGAUAUUAAAUACGUUCCAUUAAAGUCUGAAUCCUCGGUAUCCGAGAGUUAAAAAUCAUCGGUUGGUCCUUUGGUUGCUCUUACUGUGGGGAGCCAGCGAACUUCUGGUGCUUUUUCGAGCCCAAAACUGAUUCAAAAAUUUAAAUCCCUCAUCUACUGGUUUCUGCCAGCUGGUAUUCACUGUAACUGCUGCUGCUGUGACUGCAUUUCGCCUCAUUUCGUUUCAUUUGCGCUUUGCCACUGUCCUCACGGCUGCCCCGCUCUUUGCUUGUGGCACCAUUUCUGGGCUCUGGGGCCUGCCUCAGCCUCUGUUCAGCCUUCUGCCGCCUGCCUUGUCCUAUGUGCUCUGUCAGUUCUGUUCCUUUGACACAGAGUGUGUGGCAGAGUGUGUUCGGAUCUGUUCUGUUCUGUGUCUCGGGGCUCCUCAAUUUCCAGUUUUUCGCACAUUUCGCCCAUCAUACGUGUGUGUGUGUGUGAAGGGAGGAGCACACAGGGGCAGUACGGGAGUUUAUUUGGCAACUUGCGAGCGCAACUCAGAGACAGAGACAGAGCCAGAGACAGCAACGAGAACACAGAGAACUACAGAACCGAGAGACGACUCCGAAAAAGCCGAGAACAAAC